CCUACGGGAGGCAGCAGUGAGGAAUAUUGGUCAAUGGGCGCGAGCCUGAACCAGCCAAGUCGCGUGAGGGAGGACGGCCCUACGGGUUGUAAACCUCUUUUGCCGGGGAGCAACGGGCGCCACGUGUGGCGUCACGUAUAGUACCCGGAGAAAAGCAUCGGCUAACUCCGUGCCAGCAGCCGCGGUAAUACGGAGGAUGCGAGCGUUAUCCGGAUUUAUUGGGUUUAAAGGGUGCGUAGGCGGAGCGUUAAGUCAGUGGUAAAAUUGAGGGGCUCAACCUCUUCCCGCCAUUGAAACUGGCGCUCUUGAGUGGAAGAGAGGUAUGCGGAAUGCGUGGUGUAGCGGUGAAAUGCAUAGAUAUCACGCAGAACCCCGAUUGCGAAGGCAGCAUGCCGGCUUCCUACUGACGCUGAAGCACGAAAGCGUGGGGAUCGAACAGGAUUAGAUACCCGGGUAGUC
rnacentral:rRNA from 1 species